rnacentral:lncRNA from 1 species
AACAAUGUCAACUCAGACCAAAUCUCAAAUAAGGACUGUAAUCAUACCCGUCCCUGGGACUGUGAACACACCCGUCCCGCCUGGUUGUUACUAUACAGCUACAUCCACACUAACCAAUCUGUGGAGAGCAAGUCCAACCUGUACGAACGACACCAACGCAAAAGCACAACGCUCGUCUCCGGAGUGGCACUCGUGGGAGUUACCCAACCGAGUAUACAACGUAUCUUUGUCAAGCUCAAUCAGGCUCUAACAAACCAAAGUCAAGUAGUUAGGGUCAAAACAGGUCUAGAAACCAAACCUACGUGCCCUCGGCAUAAUCUAAGACCCAAAACAGAAAUUUGGGUCCACCGUCCACCCCGACAGCACCCGACAACCCGAAACAGCCUAAACUCUACUGUAAAAAUAAGCUCGGCAUCCUAACACGAGCGUAAAUGCAUUCUAAACUACCCCGGGUAUCCACCGUGCUGAAAC